CGCGGCCUAUCAGCUUGUUGGUGGGGUGAUGGCCUACCAAGGCGACGACGGGUAGCCGGCCUGAGAGGGCGACCGGCCACACAGGGACUGAGACACGGCCCAGACUCCUACGGGAGGCAGCAGUGGGGAAUAUUGCACAAUGGGCGGAAGCCUGAUGCAGCGACGCCGCGUGAGGGAUGACGGCCUUCGGGUUGUAAACCUCUUUCAGCAGGGACGAAGCGUGAGUGACGGUACCUGCAGAAGAAGCGCCGGCCAACUACGUGCCAGCAGCCGCGGUAAGACGUAGGGCGCGAGCGUUGUCCGGAUUUAUUGGGCGUAAAGAGCUCGUAGGCGGCUUGUCGCGUCGUCCGUGAAAACUUGGGGCUCAACUCCAAGCUUGCGGUCGAUACGGGCAGGCUAGAGUUCGGUAGGGGAGACUGGAACUCCUGGUGUAGCGGUGAAAUGCGCAGAUAUCAGGAGGAACACCGGUGGCGAAGGCGGGUCUCUGGGCCGAUACUGACGCUGAGGAGCGAAAGCGUGGGGAGCGAACAGGAUUAGAUACCCUGGUAGUCCACGCUGUAAACGUUGGGCGCUAGGUGUGGGGGGCCUCUCCGGUUCUCUGUGCCGCAGCUAACGCAUUAAGCGCCCCGCC
rnacentral:rRNA from 1 species